GACGAACGCUGGCGGCGUGCCUAAUACAUGCAAGUAGAACACUGAAGGAGGAGCUUACUUCUCUGGAUGAGUUGCGAACGGGUGAGUAACGCGUAGGUAACCUGCCUGGUAGCGGGGGAUAACUAUUGGAAACGAUAGCUAAUACCGCAUAAGAGUAGAUGUUGCAUGACAUUUACUUAAAAGGUGCAAUUGCACCACUACCAGAUGGACCUGCGUUGUAUUAGCUAGUUGGUGGGGUAACGGCUUACCAAGGCGACGAUACAUAGCCGACCUGAGAGGGUGAUCGGGCACACGAGGACUGAGACACGGCCCAGACUCCUACUGGAGGCAGCAGUAGGGAAUCUUCGGCAAUGGACGGAAGUCUGACCGAGCAACGCCGCGUGAGUGAAGAAGGUUUUCGGAUCGUAAAGCUCUGUUGUAAGAGAAGAACGAGUGUGAGAGUGGAAAGUUCACACUGUGACGGUAUCUUACCAGAAAGGGACGGCUAACUACGUGCCAGCCGCCGCGGUAA
rnacentral:rRNA from 1 species